AGUAGGGAAUAUUGGACAAUGGAGGCAACUCUGAUCCAGCCAUCCCGCGUGAAGGAUUAAGGCCCUCUGGGUUGUAAACUUCUUUUCUCUGGGAAUAAAAACCGGUAUUCAUAUCGGCUUGAAGGUACCAGAGGAAUAAGCACCGGCUAACUCCGUGCCAGCAGCCGCGGUAAUACGGAGGGUGCAAGCGUUAUCCGGAUUCACUGGGUUUAAAGGGUGCGUAGGUGGCUUUGUAAGUCAGUGGUGAAAUCUUAGAGCUUAACUCUAAAACUGCCAUUGAUACUGCUUAGCUUGAAUCAGGUCGAGGUGGAUGGAAUAUUACAUGUAGCGGUGAAAUGCUUAGAUAUGUAAUAGAACACCGAUUGCGAAGGCAGUUCACUAGGCCUGUAUUGACACUGAGGCACGAAAGCGUGGGGAUCAAACAGGAUUAGAUACCCUGGUAGUCCACGCCCUAAACGAUGUAAACUCGACAUUAGCGAUAUACAGUUAGUGUCCAAGCGAAAGCGUUAAGUUUACCACCUGGGAAGUACGUCCGCA
rnacentral:rRNA from 1 species